UACGAAGGGAGCUAGCGUUGUUCGGAAUCACUGGGCGUAAAGCGCACGUAGGCGGCUGUGUCAGUCAGGGGUGAAAUCCCGGAGCUCAACUUCGGAACUGCCUUUGAUACAGCACAUCUGGAGUCCGGAAGAGGUGGGUGGAAUUCCUAGUGUAGAGGUGAAAUUCGUAGAUAUUAGGAAGAACACCGGUGGCGAAGGCGGCCCACUGGUCCGGUACUGACGCUGAGGUGCGAAAGCGUGGGGAGCAAACAGG
rnacentral:rRNA from 1 species